CCUCUGAAUGGUGGUUGGCUACAAAGCAGCCAGUUGUGGUUCUGACACUCUUUGUCUCCUGCAAAGCUGCUUCAAGGAUGCUGAGUGAGAAGACAAACUCUGUAUCCUGUAAAGCAUGAAGCUUCCCCUGGCAAGUCAGCAUGAGGAGGGAUUACACAGUGAUGCAACUGGGACAGAACCUGACAAUAUGCCCCAGAAAGUGGGCAUGGCCUAAAUGGGAGAGUUGUGUGGCCAUGGUGCCCACAAAAGAGGUAGGUUGAUGACAGCUGAAGAAGACUGUAUUUGCUGAAGAGCAGCAUGAUGGUAGAGAGGAGCGGAGUUCCUGAGGGAGAUCUAAUGGUGCCUCUCCUUCCUGCACAGAGAUAAAGACUUAUAAUAAGCGUGUAUGUUCACCAUCUGGCUCUGUGCAUGUGGUCCUUAUGGAGGCGAAAGCUGCACAAUCUGUAAAUGAUCAGGAGCCAUAGCACUCUCUCCAGAGAAUCCACGAUGCAAUCAAGGUGACAGAUGGCAUGGCCACUGCUGUGGCCUCAUGGAGAAGAUCAAAAUCACCUUCAAUAAACUCUGACUGAAAUGGGCAUGAGCACCUCAAAAAAGUCAGUUUGUCAGUCAAACUGCGACAGCAAGCUGCAAUGGGGAAACAUAGCGGCCAGCUCGCUGUUUUCAAUCGUUUCCGUCUGACUGAGCCUGAACUAUGAUCUUUCUCAAAUUGUCCUUUCUGUUUAGCUGAAGCAGGCCAGCAAAUUGCCAGAUUCAUAGCUUUAUU